rnacentral:misc_RNA from 1 species
UAGGACUCGAAAGGACUACUUAAAACCAUCGCUGAACUCACUCCAAGGUUGCUUCGGCGGCGCUGCCUCCUCCGGGGGCGUCCCCCCCUGGGACCUCGCGCAGGUGUGGGGCAGCCCGCCGGAGGUACUAUACUCUGUAUUAUGAGUGGCAUCUCUGAGUAAAAAAGCAAAUAAGUUA